AAAAAUAUCAUACUUUAAUGGUGUUCACUUUUUUUUCUUAUGUCGUAUUUCAGUAUGGAGAAACAUGACAAAAAAUGUUAUCACAUAAACCUCAUUAUAACAUUAUCUUGAGUAUGUAAAAGUGACAAGAAAUAAAAGGGAUUGUCCGAAGAAAAAAAAUCAUAUUGUUUGAAAAAAAAUUAUCAACCCUACAAAAUAUGAAAAUAAUGAAAAAUUCAAAAAGAAAAAAGAAAAUAAGAUAUGACAAAUUCAAGACUUAUAAAUGUUUGUGAAUUUUGAAGCUGAAGCUUUU
rnacentral:lncRNA from 1 species